AUUUGAUUGAGAGACUGGACAUGACAGAGGAAGUAGCAACACAGUAUUCAUGUGAAUGUACUGUAAACACCGAAAGGCAGUUCACCACGCAAACAGAAACCCUUCAUAACAUCGGUGCAGUGGCCAUAGAAGCACUGUGCUGUUGUUUUGCGGUUCUGCCACUGUAUCUAUGAUUGGUUCCUGCAUGCUGUCACUAUUAUAAACAACACUGAGGAGCACCGACCUUUAGAACUUUGUUUAUAUAUCUCCAUUGUCAUGUUAUCUGCUUUCCUGAUUUCCAAAAGUGUGAAUGGCGCAUGUGUUCACAAGCUAAGCGCAUGACCCCAAAUGUAGGCUUGAUGCAUAAGUGCAUAAAGUCUCUUCUAUAUUAACUAGAAGAGGCGGGGUUGUAAUUAUCUCCUCCACACCUAAGACCCAACAGAGAGGUCGCACAUAGUGACCCCUUCAAUUGAUUUGAUCAUCCUAGUUCGACCUCCCUGACCUUGACCCGUGACACUCAUAUUUUCGACCACAUCUCAGACACUAAAUACCAAUAGGAUGAGGUGGUGCUGUACCCUGAGAAAAUCUUCAUUAGCGAUUGAGAUGAUGAGGGGUCAAUGAUACACCUUUACUGGACACCGGGGGAACUAAUGGCUUGGGUGUAUGCCAGAUGGCCUUGGCUCGCUGGUGGUUAAACAAGGGACCAUGCUGUGGUAGCUGAUGAGUUUACUCUGCCCAUUGACUCUGUUUAACUUAUUUACCAACCCCUCCUCUCUCCUACCUAUGCAUGUAAUAUCCACCUUAUUGUCCCCUGAGAUUAAGUUAAUUUUAAAAUAGUUCAUGUGUCAACAGUCACAGUUUACAGUUUAGAAUAACAACAAACAUGUAAGAAGGACAAUAGCAAGACUCAAUAUGUUGUUAUUAUUAUACUAGUGGGGAGAAAACUGGCAGAUAAAGACAUGGUUCUCCCUUCUCCGUGUCUAGACUGCCCUCUGCUCUCCAAAGAGCCCACGUUCGUCUGUAUACUGCGUGAGUGGUAAUGAGACAGUAGGGACCAGCUACACUGUUGAGCUCGGAAACCUAUUGUUUCAGAGGGGAAUUAUAACAGUCUCUCUGUCUCCCAUCUCCACCCUUUGUAUUUUUUUAACAGGAGUUCACACUAAGGACGCACACUUCGGCCUUCACCUCUGUCAACCAAUGGAAACACAAUAUCAAGGGGCCAGAAUGGACAAGAAUGGGAAUACAGGGAGUAAAACAAGACUCAACUGGUUCUCUGCCUUUGCGAAGAACAACCAUUGCAUACUGGUUCAGCCAAUAAUACGUUUUCCAUGAAUGAGUGUUAUGUCACUAAGUGUUUUGACAGUUGAGUCCUUUGUGGAGUCCAUUACAGCAAUGUGGAUUUUCCCAGGAUGGACCGGGAUCUCGGAAAGGGACAUUUGCAAUAUAAAGACGAUGCUGGAUUCAAAUCUAUACAUUCACCAAUAGAAUCACAAAAACAAUCCAAAACAUUUCACUAGUACACUUUGGCCGCAAACAUGGUUUUGGGCCCCACUGUUUACUCCAUCUUGUUUGUUUUAUGGGAAGUAAUAUUUAUUCAAGGCAGACAAUAGCUUUGGAGUGUAUAGUCAAGGUUGGAGGUGAAAAAAUAAAAGUAAUAGUGAAUUGCUUUU
rnacentral:lncRNA from 1 species